GAUAUAUGGAGCUUGCUUUAUAUAACUUAGCAGCGAACGGGUGAGUAACACGUAGAUAAUCUAUCCUAUACUGGGGGAUAGCCCGAUGAAAGUUGGAUUAAUACCGCAUAUAGCUAUAUAGUUGCGUGAUUAUGUAGUGAAAGAUUUAUUGGUAUAGGAGGAGUCUGCGGCACAUUAGCUAGUAGGUGAGGUAAAGGCUUACCUAGGCGACGAUGUGUAGCCGGUCUGAGAGGAUGAACGGCCACAAUGGAACUGAGACACGGUCCAUACUCCUACGGGAGGCAGCAGUGGGGAAUAUUGCACAAUGGGGGAAACCCUGAUGCAGCAACGCCGCGUGAGUGAAGAAGGUUUUCGGAUUGUAAAGCUCUGUUAGCAGGGAAGAGGAAGGACGGUACCUGCAGAGGAAGCCACGGCUAACUACGUGCCAGCAGCCGCGGUAAUACGUAGGUGGCAAGCGUUGUUCGGAAUAACUGGGCGUAAAGGAUGCGUAGGCGGUUAAACAAGUUAUAUGUUAAAUAUAUAGGCUUAACCUGUAGAAAGCAUAUAAAACUGUUUAACUGGAGUGCAGGAGAGGUAAGUGGAAUUCCUAGUGUAGCGGUGAAAUGCGUAGAGAUUAGGAAGAACACCAGUGGCGAAGGCGACUUACUGGACUGUAACUGACGCUGAGGCAUGAGAGCAUGGGGAGCAAACAGGAUUAGAUACCCUGGUAGUCCAUGCUGUAAACGAUGGGUACU
rnacentral:rRNA from 1 species